CGGGCGUGUCACCGAGUGUGCGAGAGCGAGAGAGAGAGAGCUAAUGGGCAGGGGUCUUUCAAGAGCUAGCCACUAACUAACCAUAGAGGUCUGGAGAUCUGUACAAACAGAUAAGAAGGGAUAUGGCUGGGCCAAUAGAGGAAGUGAUAAGGAAAGCUUCUCACCGUCUGGGUCCGGAAGCUGAAGACUGAUGUUGUCCUGUUACUUCUUUCCCCAACACCAUGGAGACCACGGGAGCCUAGGAUCACUAUCUAGAAGAUUUCCACUUGACUAACAGACACCAUCCAAGCAUCAGCUGCUGACUAUGACUAUAACAUGCUCCAAAUGACUGUGAACCCCAGUCUUGCUGAAAGUUGAUGUGGACCAGUCCCACUGAUGUGAAUUCUCCCUGUAUCUUCAGUGAACCAGAUGCUUCUGAUGAAUUCCCCAUUGCCUGAAUUUCAUCCUUGACUUUGACUAGCAUUACACCUUUCCUGGACCCUGACAAUAACAUCCUAGCUUCAGCAGGAAGUAUUCACAGAAGAGAGUAUGUUGCACUUUGUCCCCUAACAGUGUGGAAUGUUAGGUCAAAAGGAAACUCCCCAGCAUAGGGGACAAAAUAGCUACCUGUUGUGCCUAUUGGUGUACCAAAAAGGUACCUGUUAAAACUACAUAGACCCAGAUCUACCAACAGGUAGAUUCAUUACCUGAAAUAGUUCUAUAGUAUGAUAGGGCAUUCAACCUGCUCUAUGUAAAACAUAGAGGUUAUUAUAUAGCUUUAAGAGAAAAUUGUUGUUUCUAUAUU
rnacentral:lncRNA from 1 species